CGCUGGCGGCGUGCCUAAUACAUGCAAGUCGAACGGUCUUUCUAUGGAAGCUUGCUCCACUGAGAAGAUAGUGGCGGACGGGUGAGUAACACGUGGGUAACCUGCCCAUAAGAGGGGGGAUAACAUCCGGAAACGGGUGCUAAUACCGCAUAGUUUUCUUGAUCGCAUGGUUGAGAAAGGAAAGACGGCCUUUGUGCUGUCGCUUAUGGAUGGACCCGCGGCCUAUUAGUUAGUUGGUGAGGUAACGGCUCACCAAGACGAUGAUACGUAGCCGACCUGAGAGGGUGAUCGGCCACAUUGGGACUGAGACACGGCCCAAACUCCUACGGGAGGCAGCAGUAGGGAAUCUUCCGCAAUGGACGAAAGUCUGACGGAGCAACGCCGCGUGAGUGAAAGAAGGUUUUCGGAUCGUAAAACUCUGUUGUCAGAGAAGAACAAGUCGGAGAGUAACUGCUCCGGCCUUGACGGUAUCUGACCAGAAAGCCACGGCUAACUACGUGCCAGCCGCCGC
rnacentral:rRNA from 1 species